GGGUGACAAUGACAGAGUGAGGGAGGGGGUGACACAAUGACAGAGUGAGGGAGGGGGUGACACAAUGACAGAGUGAAGGAGGUGGUGACUGUCACUAGUCACCUCAUCCCUCCCUCUGUCACUAAUCACAACCUCCCUCACUCUGUCACUAGUCACCCCCUCCCUCUCUCUGUCACUAGUCACCCUCUCCCUCUCUCUGUCACUAGUCACCCCCUCCCUCUCUCUGUCACUAGUUACCCCCUCCCCCUCUCUGUCACUAGUCACACC